AAAAAAGGUGGAGAGAGAGAGACCAAGACAGAGCAAGAGACAGAUAGAAAAAAGGUGGAGAGAGAGAGACCAAGACAGAGAGCAAGAGACAGAUAGAAAAAAAGGUGGAGAGAGAGACAUCAAGACAGAGAGCAAGAGACAGAUAGAAAAAAGGUGGAGAGAGAGACAUCAAGACAGAGAGCAAGAGACAGAUAGAAAAAAGGUGGAGAGAGAGAGACAUCAAGACAGAGCAAGAAGCAGGAGAGAGAGAGACAGAAAGAGAAAAAAAGAAAGACUGAGGGAGAGCGGUAGACACCAAGAUGUAGAGAGCAAGAGAGAGAUUUAAAAAUAG
ensembl:lncRNA